UACGGGAGGAGCAGUAGGGAAUAUUGGGCAAUGGGCGAGAGCCUGACCCAGCCAUGCCGCGUGCAGGAAGAAGGCUUUCUGAGUCGUAAACUGCUUUUGACAGGGAAGAAUAAGCACUACGUGUAGUGUGAUGACGGUACCUGCAGAAUAAGCACCGGCUAACUCCGUGCCAGCAGCCGCGGUAAUACGGAGGGUGCGAGCGUUAAUCGGAAUUACUGGGCGUAAAGGGCACGCAGGCGGUUAAUUAAGUUGGAUGUGAAAUCCCCGGGCUUAACCUGGGAAUGGCAUUCAAGACUGGUUAGCUAGAGUCUUGUAGAGGGGGUAGAAUUCCAUGUGUAGCGGUGAAAUGCGUAGAGAUGUGGAGGAAUACCGGUGGCGAAGGCGGCCCCUGGACAAAGACUGACGCUCAUGUGCGAAAGCGUGGGGAGCAAACG
rnacentral:rRNA from 1 species